rnacentral:miRNA from 14 species
CCUUCUCACAGAGGCUCUUGACCUGGGACUCAGAGAGCUGCUUGCACUAGUUCAGCUGUUCGAUCCUCUGGUCUAGCUCCUUGGUGAGCAUCUUCUCAUCCAUGAUGCC